AGGGGUUUGAUCUUACGGGCUCAGAACGAACGCUGGCGGCGUGGAUUAGGCAUGCAAGUCGAACGGAGCUUUUAGCUUUUUCGAAAGCUUAGUGGCGAAAGGGUGAGUAACACGUGGGUUACCUGCCCUAGGGUUCGGGAUAACCUAUCGAAAGAUGGGCUAAUACCGGAUACGCUCUCGCGACGAAUUGUCGCGAAAGGAAAGAUGGGGAUCCGCAAGGACCUAUCACCCUUGGAUGGGCCCGUGGCCUAUCAGCUUGUUGGUGAGGUAAUGGCUCACCAAGGCUAAGACGGGUAGCUGGUCUGAGAGGAUGGUCAGCCACACUGGGACUGAGACACUGCCCAGACACCUACGGGUGGCUGCAGUCGAGAAUCUUUCGCAAUGGGGGAAACCCUGACGAAGCGACGCCGCGUGCAGGAUGAAGGCCUUCGGGUCGUAAACUGCUGUCAGCUGGGAAGAAAAAGUGGUCGACGAAUAAUCGUCCACUCUGACGGUACCAGCAGAGGAAGCCACGGCUAACUCUGUGCCAGCAGCCGCGGUAAUACAGAGGUGGCGAGCGUUGUUCGGAUUUAUUGGGCGUAAAGGGUCCGUAGGCGGUCCGGAAAGUCGGAUGUGAAAUCCUACAGCUUAACUGUGGGAACUGCUUUCGAAACCUCCGAACUCGAGUGUGA
rnacentral:rRNA from 1 species